UACGUAGGGUGCGAGCGUUGUCCGGAAUUAUUGGGCGUAAAGGGCUCGUAGGCGGUCUGUCGCGUCGGGAGUGAAAACUCAGGGCUUAACCCUGAGCCUGCUUCCGAUACGGGCAGACUAGAGGUAUGCAGGGGAGAACGGAAUUCCUGGUGUAGGCGGUGGAAAUGCGCAGAUAUCAGGAGGAACACCGGUGGCGAAGGCGGUUCUC
rnacentral:rRNA from 1 species